UCUAUUAUCAAUCUUAUUUGGAUUUGUAGGUAUGGGAAAGUGUUCAAAUCCCAUCUGUUCUUCUCUCCUACAAUUGUCUUUUGUGAUCAGAAGCUCAACUACUUUAUCCUUCAAAAAUGAAGAUAGACUGUUCCAAUGCAGUAACCCCAAACCCAUCCAUGGAGUUCUUGGAAAAUAUUCCAUGCUUGUGGAGGUGGGUGACACCAACAAGAGUCUUAGGAGUGUGGCUCUAACUCUUGUUAGCACAACAAAAUCGAAGCCUGAGUAUCUUAAUGGCAUAGAGAGAACCGCUCUCCAGAUCUGUGAG